UGUGUGUUAGUUUAAUCGGCAGAACAUUAUGUUACGGCCAUAUUGAUACAAGUUCGAGUCUUGUACACACAG
rnacentral:tRNA from 1 species